rnacentral:piRNA from 1 species
UAGAAGAAGCCGCUUUUCCCCAAGGAGA